AUGUUGCCUUGCCCUUUAAAGUUGAGAACACUCUUCAACAUUUGGAGUUUUGAUGAAAAAGAUCUAUGCAGAAGACCUGGCCAACUGAAACAGGGUGAAUGGCUCAAGAUCAUACAAAGCUCUCAGGAGAAGGAGGAUGGAGAUGAAUGCUCAUGGAAAGCUCUAGACAUUCUUACAGAAGCCGGGCAAGAUACCAGACCAAUCUACAUCUCCAUUGACAUCAUGCCAUUUCUCCUCCAGUAUAAAGGCAAGACUCAAGAGAACAAGUUACCUGGUGUUUUGCUCAGUGAAAAAUAAAGAAACCCUGCUGCUUUCAACCCCUUCUUCUGCAGAAGACACAACAGUACUAUGGUGCCAUCUUGUGGUUUGAUCAAGAAGGGGCAUUUAACAGCAAUGGAGUCUGGCAACAAGCAGGCAGUUAACUAAGGACUAUUUCAUAUCACACAUAUUUAAGGACCAUGAAUUGAUGACAGUCUGCUAUGUCCUAUAUACAUUUUUUAUGUUUGAUGAUGACAAGAAACAGAGAGCGACAAAAGGCACAAAGAAAUCUGCCCAGGAGUGUUAAUUACAAUGAAAUUUGUAAUCUUUUUGCAAAGAUGGUAUUGAUAGCCCACUGUGACAUUAACACAUGGCAAAUAUGUUGGCAUUCUGCUGCUUGAAUAUUUAUUGUGUCCACAAAUUCUGAUUGAUGCAUAUUUCAGUAGAGAGUCUGGAUGCAUAUAUUUUAUAUUUCCUUCAUUAUGCUAUUCUUUCUGUGCUUCUUUCCAAUUGAGAAGUCACUAUCAGCUGGUUGGGCCUUACCACUUUAAAUCAUACAGUGCUUUACAGAUGUAGCCUUUUAUUUGCUCAGAAGCCUACAAGAUGCAUACAAUAUGGUCUCUUGGGGCUGAGCCAUGAAAUCCAAUUCUCCAGCUGCAUAAAAUCUUUGAGAUACCAUUUCUCUGCACCUGCCACAGGGCAUAGGCAGAUUUAUUUUUGCAUGUUAUCGUGGGGAUGACAGGUUCCUUGCAUCUGGACAUAGGAAAAUAGGUAGGUUUUGGGCCAAGGAAUGGGGAGCAUGACAACCUCCAGAUGUUUUUGAACUGCAACUUUCAGUCUCUUUCCUCAUUCUGGCACAUCCAGAAAUGUAACAGUAAAUUCUGGUUUACCUUCUUUCCCCAUCUCAACUCAAAAUUAUGGGUAGCUUUGAGUAGACCAAUCUUUCUAUGUUAUAAAUAUCUUUUAAAACAUUAAGCAAUGGGAAUUGUGUCCUCUAUAGUAAAUUUUACUUGUUUGAACUACAACUCCCAGCCUAUUCAGGGAAAUUUGGGAGUUGUAGUUGUAGAUCCCGGAGGCCUGGUGGCGCAGCAGGUUAAAACGCUGAGCUACUGAACUUGCUAACUGAAAGGUCAACAGUUCAAAUUCAGAGAGAGGGUGAGCUCCUGCUGUUAGCCCCAGCUUCUGCCAACCUAGCAGUUUGAAAAUAUGCAAAUGUGAAUAGAUUAAUAGGUACUGCUCCGAUGGGAAGGUAACAGCACUCCAUGCAGUCAUGCCAGCCAUAUGACCUUGGAGGUGUCUAUGAACAAUGCUGGUCCUUUGGCUUAGAAAUGAAGAUGACAACCAACCCCCAGAGUUGGACAUGACCAGACCUAAUGUCAGGAGAAAACCUUUACCUUUACUUAGUUGUAGAUCCAGAACCAUGCUCUGCUAUAAACAAAGGAAGUUUCAGGAACAACUCUAGGCAGUUUCUCUUCUACAGUCCACUGACUCACUCAUUCUCUAAAGCAUACUAUUUUUGAUAAGAGGAUGGCUACAUCUUUAUUACAACACUGAAUGAAAGGCACAUGGUGACAUUUGAAUCAAUUCAACAUCAAGGACUGUAUGUAGCAAUAGUCUAUGUUUGAUUCCGUCUCUGCAAUAUGAGUCAUUGUGGAAAAAAUGAGGGUAUUAUGGAAUGGUCCAAGCUAUUUCAUCAUUUCCCAUUUAUGACAAUAAGGCAUAACAUUCGUUACUGUAACAUAGUGUUUCAAUUGCUGGACAGAUUCAAGUCUUCACUAAUCAUGAAAUUCACUGGGUAACUUCAGGUUGAUCACUCUCAAAAGCCUAACCUACCACACGUGAGGAUGAUGGGGGCAGCGGGAGGAGAACCUUGUUUGCCACCUUGACUUUACUGGAAGAAAAAUGAGUUAUAAGUGUAAUAUAUAUGCAGAAAUAAAUACAAUAAAAUAUUUUACAUCUUUAUAAUCUUU
rnacentral:lncRNA from 11 species